ACUCAUCAACUCGCAUACAUACAUGAGCAGACGUAGUGAGAGAAGAUUGGUGCAUAUGCCCCGAGCCAAGUUUAAAAAAAAACUAUUCUGAUUGUAAUUUGAUUACUUUUGAUGGUAAAAAUAGUUGUCCCCACAAAAUUUUGGUUCAAUCGUUUCCUUGCACCAAGUACCUAAUUUUGUUUUGUCUUUUCUAGCCACCGUUAGA